UUUCACUGUCACCUCAUGAUUGUGUGCUUUAAUAAAGCCAAGACACUACCGUCAAAACCGAUGUUUUUUUUCAUGCACUGAUGAGUUUUGCCUCUAUAACAUGUCGUCUUUCAGACUAGUGGAAAGAUAAUAUCCUAAAAAACACAUUUAAGUGUUUGUUUUACUACAGUUGAUCUUUUUUUCAUCUGUACAUUUCAGUUUCAAUGCAUAUCUUUAAAGGCUUUUUUACAAAAUGAGUUUUUUUCUCCACUUCAGUAACAUUUACAUACACCAAAAUUUACAGUUUUAUUCAUAUCUAUAUUCUGAAGGUUUUUACUGUGGGGUUUGUUCAUAUAUAAUUCAACCUGAUUAUAUAUUUAACAUUUUUAUUUGUCAAAACAUUUUGAAUUUUUUUCUGGCUGUUGACAGUAUUUUCUGGUAAAAAAGAGAAAUCCUAAAUCCCCUCUGUAAAAAUACAACAAAAUCAAACACACAUUUUGAAUCUGGCUUUGUCCAAUGUUUAAAUAAUUUAAUUUGCAUAUUUAAACAACAUUUCAGAAAAGUUGUAAUAUAAAACAGUCAUCCUAGAUUUGAAUUGCAAUACAUAUCUUUGACUCAAGAUGAGUGUUUUUUUUUUUUUUUUUUUUU